rnacentral:rRNA from 1 species
UACGUAGGGUGCGAGCGUUAAUCGGAAUUACUGGGCGUAAAGCGUGCGCAGGCGGUCUGUUAAGACCGAUGUGAAAUCCCCGGGCUUAACCUGGGAACUGCAUUGGUGACUGGCAGGCUUUGAGUGUGGCAGAGGGAGGUAGAAUUCCACGUGUAGCAGUGAAAUGCGUAGAGAUGUGGAGGAACACCGAUGGCGAAGGCAAUCCCCUGGGCCUGUACUGACGCUCAUGCACGAAAGCGUGGGGAGCAAACAGG